rnacentral:rRNA from 1 species
GACGAACGCUGGCGGCGUGCUUAACACAUGCAAGUCGAACGGAAAGGCCCUGCUUUUGUGGGGUGCUCGAGUGGCGAACGGGUGAGUAACACGUGAGUAACCUGCCCUUGACUUUGGGAUAACUUCAGGAAACUGGGGCUAAUACCGGAUAGGAGCUCCUGCUGCAUGGUGGGGGUUGGAAAGUUUCGGCGGUUGGGGAUGGACUCGCGGCUUAUCAGCUUGUUGGUGGGGUAGUGGCUUACCAAGGCUUUGACGGGUAGCCGGCCUGAGAGGGUGACCGGCCACAUUGGGACUGAGAUACGGCCCAGACUCCUCGGGAGGCAGCAGUGGGGAAUAUUGCACAAUGGGCGGAAGCCUGAUGCAGCAACGCCGCGUGCGGGAUGACGGCCUUCGGGUUGUAAACCGCUUUCGCCUGUGACGAAGCGUGAGUGACGGUAAUGGGUAAAGAAGCACCGGCUAACUACGUG